GCCUGGGAGAAGCUCAACUGGGGAGGAGGCAGGAACGGCCGGAGCAGCGGCUCGCCCAGGCUCUCCCGGGAAGGGCGCCUGGCUCCCACGCGGGAGCUGCCGGCUCCUGCCCAGUCCCACUGGCUGGGAAAGACAAAGGGAGACGCGGAAGGCAGAGGCGGCGGCGCUGGGACCCGCGGCGAGCGCCGAGGAGCCCCCCAGGACCUGUGAGCGGCCGGCCCGCUCGCCCUGCCCUUCCUCUGCUGGGGCGCUGCUCCGACGGCAAGUGACUCUCUGUGAUUGAAAUGAGCAUCAAGGUGCCUGUAUCACCUGGGACCAAAGCCACAGGAUGAUCUUAAUGGCCGCAUUAAUGAAAUAAUUUUAAGGAAAAAGCAGCCUUCUUUUAUCUAGCUCCUGUAGUUCAAGUUUUACUCCCAUACAGGAAACCGAAUCUCAGACAUUGAUAUUAAUUACCUCUCAAUCUUCCUGAAUGGGGAAAGGAAAUCAUCAUUAUCAGUUUUGAUUAAAUGCUCAGUGGGAGAAAUUAGCAGCUUCCAGGCGAGUUGAAGAGAGAGAUCUGGGAUCAUUUUUAAAAGGGAAAGAAAAGGACAAUCCAAUUUUGCUGCUUUAAAUCACUCCAGGGUAAAACGAAGCCUCUCCCCUUGCCAGUGAAGAUAACUGAAUUUCUUUGUUUGGCCUAAACAUCUGAUCAUAGAAAAAGCCUGUGAACCUGUGACAACCUUUCUCUUUGCCUUACCACGGUCACUGAGUCACAGGCUGACAGCCAGGCUAAGGAACCCCAAAGGAAAGAUGGUCGCCGUCAAGAAGAAAAAUCUGAAAAUGUUUACACUUGUCUUAUUGUUUGUCAUCACGAUAACGUCGUUCUUGCUGAAUUACACUAACAGUUCGGUGAUGGUCACCUGGGAUCCCAAGCAGAUUGUCACGCAGUUAAAAAAACUAAUGAAAUACUCCCAGAGACCAUGCAGCUGUAGUUCAUGUGUUCCCGAGCUGGGACUUUCCUUCUGGUUCGACGAGAGGUUUAAUCAGACUGUUCAACCUUUCCUGACCACUCGGAACACCUUCAUUCCAGAGGAGAGCUACAAGUGGUGGCUGAAAUUGCAAGGAGAGGGCAAUCCUAAAAAUAUCAAUGACACUAUCAAGGAAUUGUUUGAGAUCAUUCCUGGAGAUGGGGAGCAGCUGCUGGAGAGAGACGUCUCCCGGUGCAGAAGGUGUGCCGUCGUGGGGAACUCCGGGAACCUUAGGCAAUCUCAAUACGGCCAAGAUAUCGAUGCCCACGACUUCGUGCUCAGAAUGAAUCGUGCUCCAACUGCCGGGUUUGAAUCGGACGUUGGAAGCAAAACCACUCACCACUUUGUUUACCCCGAGAGCUUCCGAGACCUGGCAGAAAAUGUCAGCAUGAUUGUGAUCCCCUUCAAAACACUGGACCUGCGCUGGAUUGUCAGCGCACUCACCACGGGCACAAUAAACUUCACAUAUGUUCCGGUUCCACGUAAAAUCAAAGUGAAAAGAGACAAGGAGCCAGGGGGCACAGAUCCUGUCAGAUAUAAAUGUAAUUCAAAAGCAAAAGCCUAUCCAUUGAAAUUCAUCCAAGCAGACUGCUUACCACUAGAAAUCUGAGACGUCGGUAUGACAACGCAGCUGCAAUUCAUUUAAGAUCAGACAGUAAGUACAAUUCAGCUCGCUUUGCUCUUGGACUUAGACAGUGGUCUGACUGUUAUUGGAGGGCCACUCUUUAGCCUGCCCUUCAGAGGCCAUGUCCCUGAGAGCAAAUUGACCCUUGCUUAUCCAUCCAGCACAUAGUCUAAUCAAUGCUGCAUCCAUGACAAAAUGACCAGGAUCGGCUGAUAUCUUAACCCACAUUAAACAUGCUGAAAAUAUGAAUGGCUGGUUAGUGUGACACAGCCAGGAAAAGCACUGUGGGUGUUGCAGUCAUGUUAAGGGCCAACGCUCAGGAAGGAAGUCAGCUGGUGAUUAGCCCCACUUCUCUGUGGAAGGGGGCAUCUUUCUCCCUUCCCCGGGUGGGUGGGUGGGUGUGUAGUCCAAGUUUCAAGCCUUCUAUGGAUGCAGAGUGUGUGCAGGGGAGGGAAUGCUGCUGAUUUAAUCUGUGAUAGCACCAUGAUUAAAAGCCAAUGGCCUGAAGAGGCCCACAUGUCCAGCAGCAGAUCGGACUAGACAAUCACUUUAGAACCUGCCUGAUUCUUCAGCAGAGCGCAUUGCGGAGGUGGGGGAGGGGCUUCUGUGAAAACUGGGGGGCAACAACAUGCUAUAAAAUGAAAAUCAGUGACUAAGAAGCAGCAGCCUUUGUUCUAGAGAAGCCUGCCUUCAAUCACUGUGAUAACAAUCCUGCUGCCCUGCAGGUGGGCACAGUGCCAGCUGGAUCCGGUGGCAGAUAUUUAUGGGAAAGAGAGAGCCGACUUAGGUCCUGAAACUGCCAAGUCCAGAUUAAUGAAUCACUAAAUGUGCUACUGAAAUGCAGCCACUUCUGGGGUUAAGCACUGCAGCUGUCUGAACAGCUCACAGCAGCACCACAGUAGAUGUUAGGAUAGGAAGUAAAAAUAAAUAUUGCACCAGACUGAAAAGACAGGAUAUUUUGAUUUCAGAUUGGCAGGAUGUAAAUAUCCAAAUGCAAAUUUGGCCAGUAGAGUGUUAUAAAUGCUCCCUCUGGUCCAAACCUUCCCCCAGGAUUUUUGAUGCCCAUGGUCUCCAGUUUCACGUGCUGUCCAUAAACCCCACCUCCAAGAGCAACAGCAGGCCCUAUAGCCUCACAGGGGCAUUGGGUCUGUUAACUACUAAAGGAGUUGGAAACCCUAAUUAAGUCCUGUCAGGGUUCCCUCCCCACACUGAACUCGAGGGUAAAGAUGUGGGGAACUGCAUGAAAGACCCCCUAAAAGAUUAUUUUUACCAGCUUAGGUUAAACACUUUCCCAAGGCACAAACUUUGCCUUAUUCUUGAACAGUAUGCUGCCACCACCAAGUGAUUUAGACAAAGAAUAGGGAAAGGACCACUUGGAGUUCCUAUUUCCCCAAAAUAUCCCCCCAAGCCCUUACACCCCUUUUCCUGGGGAGGCUUGAGAAUAAACAAAAUGAGCACAAACCAGCCUUGGAUUUUUAAGACCCAAAAAACCCAAUCAGAUUCUUAAAAAUCAGAACUUUAUUAGAAGAACAAAAAAAGAUACAACAACUCUGUAAGAUCAGAAUGGAAGAUAAUCUUACAGGCAGUCAGAUUCAAAACAUAGAGAAUCCCUCUAGGCAGAACCUUAAGUUACAAAAAGACACAAAAACAAGAAUACACAUUUCCUCCAGCACAGCGAAUUUCACAAGCGAAAACAAAGAAAACCUAACUCAUUUUCUAGCUAAAUUACUUACUAACUUUAUAGGGGUUGGAGGGCUUGCAUCCUUGAUCUGUUCCCGGCAAAGGUAUCACACAGACAGACAAAAGCCUUUCCCCCCUGCUCCAGAUUUGAAAGUAUCUUGUCCCCUCAUUGGUCAUUUUGGGUCAGGUGCCAGCCAAGUUACCUGAGCUUCCUUAGUCUUUUAGAGGUAAAAGGACUUUUUCUCUGGCCAGGAGGGAUUUCAUAGCACUGUAUACAGAAGGGUGGUUACCCUUCCCUUAAUAUUUAUGACAAGUCCAGCUGCCCACACUGCAAGCCUGUCUCCCUCUCGCAUCUAUCAUCGGUUAAUAAUUUAUUCCGAAAAGACCAAAGAGGCAGGAUUAGGUGCAAAACAAAGAACAAUUUAUUAAAGGAUCCCCAACAGCUCUACCCAAUAAGCAAACAGGAAAACCACUCGGGUGUUAACAAUACAAACAGGCUUGAAGCAAAGGUCCCAAAACCAUACAACACCAGGGGUGGGUAAGACAAGUUAAAAGUGUUAACACAUCACCAUUCUUGUUCUUUACACCACACUCUGGACACACUGGAGCUAAGGACACCAUCAGGACCACAGGACAUCAAGGGACAGGAGCCAGGAGCACGAACAGCAGGAUACUCAGGACAGGAUCAGAGACCAGCACUUUCCUGCUAAGAGGCAACAGACCAAAUUCUCAGCUGACGGAGAUUGCUGUAGCUACAUUGAAGCCAAGGGAGCUAUGUCAGUUUUCCCCAGCUGAAGGCCUGGCCCACAGAUGUGUAAUUUCAUGGCUAAGUGGCGAGCUCGGGUAAUAAUUGCAUAAGUAACUGUAGCUGGAACAAUGUUUUUAUUUCCUGUAAUAAGCAGAGAAAUGGGAAAAUGAGAAUGCACACAGAUUAAUGGGUCUCUGGACAGUGAGAGAGCAUUCACAUAUUUCAGCCAGGGCUGGGGAAUCUACGCACCUCUUCAUUGGCUUUAUUAGAGGUGACACGUAACAUCUGGUUAAGGUCUCACUUCAGUCAGUAUCUGAAGUCUCUUCACGAUCAGAAACAGCUUUCCACUGGACAUUUGGGGGAAGAACCCAUCUUCAAGACUUAUACCACAUCCCACAGGAGACUGCUCCACAAUCCAACAGAUCUUUGCUGUCACUAAGUUCUCCCUGGUAGUCAUUUACAUUUUCCCUUUCUUAAUUUCAACCCAUUACUCAUAAUGAACCCCACCCUAAAUUAGCCUAAAUAAUCUCUCCUUCUCUCAUAGUCAUUACUUAGACAACCUACACAAAAUUAACACUUAUAAAGCCAAAUCUGCCUUACUCAUGCAAAUCAUCGAUCAAAAGUAAUGAGUGUAUUUGUAACCCUUUUGCCAGGUGGAGCCAGAAACAACCAGGGCCAGAUUCAAUAUUUAGGGGUUCCUUUUCAACAAUACAACACAGAAUUGGCUCAAGCCCCCACCCAGUAACCUGGGAAAAUUACACACCAGCCCUGAACCUGUUAUUAUGCAAGGCACUGAAUUUAGCCGUAUGGAGUGGAAGUCUAUCAACUUCAUGUAAAAACUCGUACAGAUACAGACAGACAUCAUCUUCUUUUCCAAAUGCAAACACAUGGACAUCAUACCAAAAGGAAUGAAGGUAAAAAAUCCAUUACAUCUACAUACCACACAGACUAUGCUGACAGCUUGUGCCACACGCUCUCAAAGAAACUGUGGAACCACCUGAUCAACAUCCUCUUCAGCAAACAGGGAAAGAUUAAGAAUGAGCUCUCAAAACUGGCUACUCUCAUAAAAAACCAGCCUUCCACACAAACUUCCUCAUGGCCGGACUUUACAAAAACUAGACAAGCCAUUUACGCCACUAGCCGUCACCUUCAGCCCCCAACUAAAACCUCUCCAAUGCAUCAUCAAGGAUCUACAACCUAUCCUGAAGGAUGACCCAUUGCUCUCACAAAUCUUGAGAGACAGGCCAGUCCUUGCCUACAGACAGCCCCCCCAACCUGAAGCAAAUACUCACCAGCAACCACACACCACACAACAGAACCACUAACUCAGGAACCUAUCCUUGCAACAAAGCCCGUUGCCAACUGUGUCCACAUAUCUAUUCAGGGGACACCAUCAUAGGGCCUAAUCACAUCAGCCACACUAUCAGAGGCUCGUUCACCUGCACAUCUACCAAUGUGAUAUAUGCCAUCAUGUGCCAGCAAUGCCCCUCUGCCAUGUACAUUGGUCAAACUGGACAGUCUCUACGUAAAAGAAUAAAUGGACACAAAUCAGAUGUCAAGAAUUAUAACAUUCAUAAACCAGUCGGAGAACACUUCAAUCUCUCUGGUCACUCGAUUUCUGACCUAAAAGUGGCAAUUCUUGUUUAUUGUUUAUUCUUAUUGUUUAUUCCCCCCC